CCUACGGGAGGCAGCAGUGGGGAAUAUUGGACAAUGGGCGAAAGCCUGAUCCAGCAAUGCCGCGUGAGUGAUGAAGGCCUUCGGGUCGUAAAGCUCUUUUACCAGGGAUGAUAAUGACAGUACCUGGAGAAUAAGCUCCGGCUAACUCCGUGCCAGCAGCCGCGGUAAUACGGAGGGAGCUAGCGUUGUUCGGAAUUACUGGGCGUAAAGAGUACGUAGGCGGUUAUUCAAGUCAGAGGUGAAAGCCCGGGGCUCAACCCCGGAACUGCCUUUGAAACUAGAUAACUAGAGUCUUGGAGAGGUUAGUGGAAUUCCGAGUGUAGAGGUGAAAUUCGUAGAUAUUCGGAAGAACACCAGUGGCGAAGGCGACUAACUGGACAAGUACUGACGCUGAGGUACGAAAGCGUGGGGAGCAAACAGGAUUAGAUACCCUGGUAGUCCACGCCGUAAACGAUGAUAACUAGUUGUUCGGUCACUUGGUGACUGAGUGACGCAGCUAACGCAUUAAGUUAUCCGCCUGGGGAGUACGGUCGCAAGNUUAAAACNAAAG
rnacentral:rRNA from 1 species